rnacentral:rRNA from 1 species
UGGGGAAUAUUGGACAAUGGGCGCAAGCCUGAUCCAGCAAUGCCGCGUGUGUGAAGAAGGCCUUCGGGUUGUAAAGCACUUUUAUCAGGAACGAAAAGCGUGGGGUUAAUACCUUUACGUGCUGACGGUACCUGAGGAAUAAGCACCGGCUAACUUCGUGCCAGCAGCCGCGGUAAUACAGAGGGUGCGAGCGUUAAUCGGAGUGACUGGGCGUAAAGGGCAUGUAGGCGGUUAUAUUAGUCUGAUGUAAAAGACCCGGGCUUAACCUGGGAUAUGCAUUGGAAACGGUAUAGCUAGAGUAUGGGAGAGGGAAGUGGAAUUUCCGGUGUAGCGGUGAAAUGCGUAGAGAUCGGAAAGAACACUCGUGGCGAAGGCGGCUUUCUGGCCCAUAACUGACGCUGAGGUGCGAAAGCAUGGGGAGCAAACAGGAUUAGAUACCCCAGUAGUCCCUGAGCGGGCUGGCAAGGCGCAU